rnacentral:rRNA from 1 species
UCCUAUGGGGGGCAGCAGUGGGGAAUAUUGCACAAUGGGGGAAACCCUGAUGCAGCAACGCCGCGUGAGUGAAGAAGGUUUUCGGAUUGUAAAGCUCUGUUAGCAGGGAAGAGGAAGGACGGUACCUGCAGAGGAAGCCACGGCUAACUACGUGCCAGCAGCCGCGGUAAUACGGAGGAUGCGAGCGUUAUCCGGAUUUAUUGGGUUUAAAGGGUGCGUAGGCGGUCUGUUAAGUCAGCGGUAAAAUUGCGGGGCUCAACCCCGUCGAGCCGUUGAAACUGGCAGACUUGAGUUGGCGAGAAGGA